AUUCAAUGACCUACUGCAUGAGCUUCCUUAAUUACUGCACUGUGUUCUGGGUCGGAUCAUAGAGGACAACAUCCAAGCAGAACGGUACAUCGCAGUUGUACAGAAACAGGCAGAUACAGCGUUAUUCCUGUUUUCUUCCCGGGGAAUCCCCUGCACCAGUGAGAAUGAUUUAUCUGUAGAGGAUGUGAUCAAAAUUAACGAGGAUUUCCAUUUCCGACAAAACAAUGUCAACAGACAGUCUUCUCUGGAUGACUUUGAUCCUCUGAAAAACACUGAACAUGUGGUUGAUCUUUUUGUGGGAGGCAAGAACAUCAGGGUCCUAUUAAAAGAUCCUGUGGCGGCCAAGUCAUUAAUUACCUACCUACAAAAAGCCCAGAGUCAGCUCCCCCAAGGUGCCCCCCAGGGCCUUCCCUCCUCCUUUGCUUGGACGGACAGGUACCGCCACUCCCAGUCCGAAUGUCUGCAUGUACAGGACUUGGACAAUCCCUUUGGGAUUGACACGUUUAAACCCGAGAAGUCACAGAACCCAUUUCAGGAGGACGUUUUUGACCCACUGAAAUACAUGAAUAUUUCGGAUGGAGACAAUGUUGUGGCAACAGACCAAG